rnacentral:rRNA from 1 species
UUCCGGUUGAUCCUGCCGGACCUGACUGCUAUCGGAUUGAUACUAAGCCAUGCGAGUCUUUGCAGUAAUGCAAGGCAUACGGCUCAGUAACACGUAGUCAACUUACCCUAUGGACGAGGAUAAUCUCGGGAAACUGAGCAUAAUACUCGAUAGAUCAUAAUGCCUGGAAUGGUUUAUGGUUGAAAUGAUUCGUCGCCAUAGGAUGGGACUGCGGCCUAUCAGCUUGUUGGUGAGGUAAAGGCCCACCAAGGCGAUUACAGGUACGGGCUCUGAGAGGAGAAGCCCGGAGAUGGGUACUGAGACACGGACCCAGGCCCUAUGGGGCGCAGCAGGCGAGAAAACUUUGCAAUGUGCGAAAGCACGACAAGGUUAAUCCGAGUGAUUUCUGCUAAAGGAAUCUUUUGCCAGUUCUAAAAAUACUAGUGAAUAAGGGGUGGGCAAGUUCUGGUGUCAGCCGCCGCGGUAAAACCAGCACCUCAAGUGGUCAGGAGGAUUAUUGGGCCUAAAGCAUCCGUAGCCUGCUCUGUAAGUUUUCGGUUAAAUCUAUAUGCUCAACAUAUAGGCUGCCGAAAAUACUGCAGUGCUAGGAAGUGGGAGAGGUAGACGGUACUCGAUAGGAAGGGGUAAAAUCCUUUGAUCUAUCGAUGACCACCUGUGGCGAAGGCGGUCUACCAGAACACGUUCGACGGUGAGGGAUGAAAGCUGGGGGAGCAAACCGGAUUAGAUACCCGGGUAGUCCCAGCUGUAAACGAUGCAGACUCGAUGAUGCAUUGGCAUAUAGCCAGUGCAGUAUCGCAGGGAAGCCGUUAAGUCUGCCGCCUGGGAAGUACGUACGCAAGUAUGAAACUUAAAGGAAUUGGCGGGGGAGCACCACAAGGGGUGAAGCCUGCGGUUCAAUUGGAGUCAACGCCGGG